GGGGUGUUAGUAAAUCCAUCACAUGGCCUUGUCAAGGCCAAAUCACAAGUGAAACCCUUGUACACCCCA
rnacentral:tRNA from 1 species